ACAGUGAUUGCUCAGUUGGCAGAGCGUUUGAUUCGAGAUCAGAAGUUUCGGGUUCGAGGCUCUCCCGGCAAUAAAUCACUAUG